rnacentral:hammerhead_ribozyme from 17 species
CAAGCGUCUGGGGUAAGGAGUCGCUGCCAUCAGCCCUACUGAUGAGUCUAGGCAGUGACUCCGAGACAAAACGCAUU